rnacentral:rRNA from 1 species
GUGAACGCUGGCGGUAGGCCUAACACAUGCCAGUCGCACGGCAGCACAGUAAGAGCUUGCUCUUACGGGUGGCGAGUGGCGGACGGGUGAGGAAUACAUCGGAAUCUACUUUUUCGUGGGGGAUAACGUAGGGAAACUUACGCUAAUACCGCAUACGACCUACGGGUGAAAGCAGGGGAUCUUCGGACCUUGCGCGAUUGAAUGAGCCGAUGUCGGAUUAGCUAGUUGGCGGGGUAAAGGCCCACCAAGGCGACGAUCCGUAGCUGGUCUGAGAGGAUGAUCAGCCCCACUGGAACUGAGACACGGUCCAGACUCCUACGGGAGGCAGCAGUGGGGAAUAUUGGACAAUGGGCGCAAGCCUGAUCCAGCCAUACCGCGUGGGUGAAGAAGGCCUUCGGGUUGUAAAGCCCUUUUGUUGGGAAAGAAAAGCAGCAGGUUAAUACCCCGCUGUUCUGACGGUACCCAAAGAAUAAGCACCGGCUAACUUCGUG